rnacentral:rRNA from 1 species
UGAUUUGUCUGGUUAAUUCCGUUAACGAACGAGACCUUAACCUGCUAAAUAGGGUAAAAAACUUUUGUUUUUAAAUUACUUCUUAGAAGGACUUUGCGUGUCUAACGCAAGGAAGUUUGAGGCAAUAACAGGUCUGUGAUGCCCUUAGAUGUUCUGGGCUGCACGCGCGCUACAAUAAUGCAUCCAACAAGUUUAUAACCUUGGCUGGUAAGCUUAGGUAAUCUUUUGAAUGUGCAUUGUGAUGGGGAUAGAUUAUUGUAAUUAUUAGUCUUUAACGAGGAAUGCCUAGUAAGCGCAAGUCAUCA